AUUGAACGCGGGCGGCAUGCCUUACACAUGCAAGUCGAACGGUAACAGGUCUUCGGAUGCUGACGGGUGGCGAACGGGUGAGUAAUACAUCGGAACGUGCCUAGUAGUGGGGGAUAACUACUCGAAAGAGUGGCUAAUACCGCAUGAGAUCUACGGAUGAAAGCAGGGGAUCGCAAGACCUUGUGCUACUAGAGCGGCCGAUGGCAGAUUAGGUAGUUGGUGGGAUAAAAGCUUACCAAGCCGACGAUCUGUAGCUGGUCUGAGAGGACGAUCAGCGAAAUUGGGACGUAGACACGACCCAGACUCCUACGGGAGGCAGCAGUGGGGAAUUUUGGACAAUGGGCGCAAGCCUGAUCCAGCAAUGCCGCGUGCAGGAUGAAGGCCUUCGGGUUGUAAACUGCUUUUGUACGGAACGAAAAGCCCCGGGUUAAUACCCUGGGGUCAUGACGGUACCGUAAGAAUAAGCACCGGCUAACUACGUGCCAGCCGCCGCAGUAA
rnacentral:rRNA from 1 species